rnacentral:lncRNA from 1 species
GGGUUAAAAGUCAAUCUAUCCAUCUGAUGGAUGGGAUGGAGAUGUAAAUACAUCCGUAUCAUCAAACGAGAUGUGUAGGAACAAUCCAUUCAAGAAUCAGAGGAAUAUAUCGAAAUAUAUCCCUCUAUAAUGGUUUAGGCUAGAAGCAGGAGGGAGGGGUAUCUAGGGGGUCAAAAUUUAAUCUAACCAUUUGAUGGAUGGAUUGGAGGUGUUUAUAGCUUCAU